rnacentral:rRNA from 1 species
UACGAAGGGGGCUAGCGUUGCUCGGAAUCACUGGGCGUAAAGGGCGCGUAGGCGGUGUGUCAAGUCAGGCGUGAAAGCCCCGGGCUCAACCUGGGAACCGCGCUUGAGACUGGCACGCUCGAGUUCGGGAGAGGAUGGUGGAAUUCCCAGUGUAGAGGUGAAAUUCGUAGAUAUUGGGAAGAACACCGAUGGCGAAGGCAGCCAUCUGGACCGACACUGACGCUGAGGCGCGAAAGCGUGGGGAGCAAACAGG